AGCCCUGACGCUCCCCUGCCGGGAGUCGCGCGCGGUGCGUCACUUCCUGCGUACGGCAGAGCGCGCGCGCUUCCCGUCGCUGCGGCGCGGCCAGGAUGGGCCGCGGCCGCACGGACGUUCCGCGCCCCGCCGCCGUCCGGAGCACCGGCGGCAGCAGCGCCGUCAGCAAGUGCUCGGCGGCGGCGCGGGGCUACAUCCAGGACCGGUUCCUGCGGCUCCUGGCGGCGCGGCAGCGGCGGCGAGCGCCGCUUGUGCACCGGGGUUAUUACAUCCGUGCCCGUGCUGUCGAUCACUGUGUCCGAGACUUCCUGCUGAAGACCCACGGCCACGCCAGGACACAGAUCGUGUCUCUAGGCGCUGGCUUCGACUCGUUAUUCUUCCGUCUGAAGGACAUGGGCCUUCUGCAUGGCGCUGCGGUGUACGAGGUGGAUUUCCCAAGCGUGGCGCGCCAAAAAGCCGCUCUGAUCGAAACAACCAGAGAGCUGUCGGCGCUGGUGGGAGAGGCUGGAGGGGAAGAGCUGGGAGUCGUUGCCUUGUCCGGAGAGGAUUAUAAGUUACUGGGCGUGGAUUUGUCGGAGCUGUCUGAGCUGGAGAGAGCCCUGGAGGGAGCGGGACUGGACAGCGGAGCCCCCACGCUCUUCAUAGCAGAGGUGGUGCUCACCUACAUGGAAAACAGCAGGUCGGACGCCUUGAUCCAGUGGGCAGCGGGUCGUUUCCCGCGGGCGUGCUUUGUGCUGUACGAGCAGGUGUGCCCGCGGGACCCGUUCGGGCGCGUCAUGCAGCAGCACUUCAGCCAGCGGGGCUCCGCGCUGCGCGCCUUGGCGCGGUACCCGGACUGCGGCGCGCAGCGCAGGCGCUUCCUCGAACAGGGCUGGACCGAGUGCAGUGUCAUGGAUAUGAAUGAGUUUUUCACCCGUUGCACUCCACAAGAAGAGCAGCAGAGAGUGCAGGCUCUGGAGCCUUUUGAUGAAUACGAGGAAUGGCAUCUGAAAUGUUCUCAUUACUUUGUCUUGGCUGCGUCGAAGGGGAUGGAACCUUCCUGGACUCCGUUGUUAUCCAGCGUGGCAGUCCACGGCGACGGUGCUGUCCGCACAGCGGGGACCGUCGCCGCGGCGCCCUGUGCGCUGCCCUCCGAAGCUUCUGGCCUGAGACGUUACGGUCACCACUCCGUUCUCAUAGAACCCAAUGUGAUUCUCACCACUGGAGGCUUUGGGGAGGAGGACGGACAGCACUGCCGUAUGAGACAUUUCAAUGUGCUAAUUAAGCGUGCAGGCUACUGGAAAUCUGGCCGCGUGAAAACAGAGCCUUCUGGUGAAAGAUGGGAUGGGCGGCUGUACCAUACGGUGUCACGUCUCUCGAGCACUCUGGCGCUGGUGACAGGAGGACGAACAUCCCCGUCAAGCGCAGGCUUGGGAAUGUUGUGGCUGAAGUUUCCCGAACCCUGUAACGACCCAGACCCGGAGGACUUUGCGGUGGAGCUUGUCAGUCUGCAGCGUGGCUCCGAGCCGGCUGCUCUGCGUUGGAGACACAGCGCAACGGAGGUCGUGUUCCAAGGCGAGAGGUACCUGUUUGUGUACGGCGGCCGCUCUGCGGCGGAGCCCGUGCUGGGGGACUGGUGCUUCCUGCGCGCCGACGCGCGGUCCUGCGCUGCGGUUCCCGUGCAGGGUCCGGUUCCCGAAGGCCGCCACUCGCACAGCGCCUGCGGCUGGAACGGGGGAGUGCUGAUCGCGGGAGGGCUGGGCGCAGCCGAGCGGCCCCUGGGCUCGCUGCUGUUCCUGGGGGCGGUGGACCGCGGCUUUCAGUGGCAGACGGUGCAGACGCAGCCUCCUCUCACCCCAAGGUAUUCCCACACUGCACACGUUCAUGAUGGAAAACUUCUGCUUGUUGGAGGAGUGUGGUUUCAUUCGUCUUCUGUGCCAGGCGUCACUGUUAUCGACUUAAUGACUGGUCUCUGCUUGGACUACACAAUUGAUGUGCGGCCACAGCAACAACUCGGUUGCCAGCACGGCAGUUCUGUUUCUGCUCCCGCCCGUCACCUGGACAGCGCUCGCUUUCCUGAGCUUUCGGAUAACUACACGUCUUGGCGUGGCGAGGAGCGCGACGCUGCUCGUUGUUUCUGCUGAUGGAAGAUCUGGGAGACAUAAAAGGAAGCUGGCAGGUGAUACGGUGGAAAAGAGUCCCUCGUAUGAAACAUAGUUAAGCUCUGGAACUCUGACACAGGACACGAAUGCCACAGAUUUACAUGGAUUCAAAAAGUGACCGUCUGUGUUCUUGGUAGGAAAAACAUUGAAGUUCAGGGAGCACAAAGACAAAAAGUCGGUGAACUGCAGGCUGUUGGGUGCAUGGAAUACACCAGAGGAGUGUGUCGUUUCCUGCGCUCUCUGGCUGUUUAGUUUUGCCCACAUUUGUGGGUGGUACAGUGGACAAAAUGGUCCUAGAUGAGACCCACUGUGGCUGUUCUUUCUAACGAAGGAGCAUCUGGAGUGGCCAUUAAUGCUGCAUAACCAUAGCAGUGUCUUUCUGCCGGACGAGGAGGAGUUGUUGCUUAUCGGCGGUGGUGGGAACUGCUUCUCCUUCGGGACGCACCUGAACGCCGAGCCUGUCGUGCUGAG